GAGUUUGAUCGUGGCUCAGAGCGAACGCUGGCGGCAGGCCUAACACAUGCAAGUCGAGCGCCGUAGCAAUACGGAGCGGCAGACGGGAGAGUAACACGUGGGAACGUACCCUUCAGUUCGGAACAACCCAGGGAAACUUGGGCUAAUACCGAAUACGUCCGUAAGGAGAAAGAUUUAUCGCUGAAGGAUCGGCCCGCGUCUGAUUAGCUUGUUGGUGAGGUAACGGCUCACCAAGGCUACGAUCAGUAGCUGGUCUGAGAGGAUGAUCAGCCUCACUGGGACUGAGACACGGCCCAGACUCCUACGGGAGGCAGCAGUGGGGAAUAUUGGACAAUGGGCGCAAGCCUGAUCCAGCCAUGCCGCGUGGAUGAUGAAGGCCCUAGGGUUGUAAAGUCC
rnacentral:rRNA from 1 species